AGAAAAGGUUAUUUUCCCCUCAUUAUCAUUGUCUCAUUUUAUUUUCUUUUUCUUCCAAUCCAAACACAGUGUUAGAUAUGGAGCCUAACUCACCAAGCGCACAUCAGCCUUCACUCUUCACUAGAACUUGAAUGGGACACAUUGCUUAACCUUGUUAAUUUCUUCUCUUCCAAUUGAAACCAAAAUACAACUCAUCACUAACCCCAUAACAGCUGCCCUUAUUCUUUUUUCACCUUUGUCUCAAUUUCUUGCGCUUUACAUAGUCUCUUUAAUGGCAAAGAAGCAUAGAAAACUCUUCCCAACCCUAAGUGCAACAAACCAAACUGGAGAUUGUCCUGAUUUCUGCGACCCAACCUGCCCUUAUAACUGCUAUCCUUAUGCAGAUUACUAUUACCUGCCUCCACCACCACCACCUCCACCUCUUCCUUCUCUGCUACCCCAAGAGCAUCACUUAUCACCUUAUGUGAUCAUUAUAGUUUCUUUGCUGGCCAGUUUCUUCCUUCUUGUUAGCUAUUAUGUUAUCAUAGCGAAGUCCUGCCCUGGUUGGUGCAGUUCAAGGAACAACAGGCAGCCACAAGAUGAAGCGGAUAAUACGGAUGGAGAUAUUCUUGAUGAGAACCAAGUUGAUCAUCCGAUUUGGUUUAUCACCACAGCUGGUUUGCAACAGUCAAU
rnacentral:misc_RNA from 1 species